GGGGCAGAGCUUGAAUAUAUUGAGGUGAUGGGAGCAGGGCCUCUAAUGAAAAGUGAAAGUUGAGAAAUUCGUAAACAAAAUAAACAUGGGGUAAGGGACGGAUAGGCAAUAAUUUAUAUUUUAGGGUGUUCAGAGCCAUAGUGGUAAAAUGCAUGGUAUGUGACAUGUAGGCUUGAUGUCCUAAAGUAUGAAUUAGUGGGUUUAGAAGGGAGUGAGUUCAUGACAUCAUCGCAUAUGCAUAACACAUUUAUCUUGUAAUUGUUUAAUGCAUGUCACUUUGAUUAGCUAUGAUAGCUAGCUUUGAAGGGGAUGUUACAGUACUCUACUGGGCAUUAAAAU
rnacentral:lncRNA from 1 species